AUUAAUUAGGGGAGGAAAAGAAACUAACAAGGAUUUUCUUAGUAGCGGCGAGCGAAAAGAAACCAGUUCAGCACUAAGUCACUUUGUCUUUAAAUGGCAAAUGUGAGAUGCAGUGUAUGGAAUAUCUAAAUUCUAGUUUAAUAUAUUGAUGAUUUAAGUCCUUCUUAAAUGAGGCCACUUACCCAGAGAGGGUGCCAGGCCCGUAUAACAUCAAUGAGAACUAGAAGAUGUUUCCAAAGAGUCGUGUUGCUUGAUAGUGCAGCACUAAGUGGGUGGUAAACUCCAUCUAAAACUAAAUAUAACCAUGAGACCGAUAGUAAACAAGUACCGUGAGGGAAAGUUGAAAAGAACUCUGAAUAGAGAGUUAAAUAGUACGUGAAACUGCUUAGAGAUUAAGCCCGAUGAACUUGAAUAUCUAAUAUGGGAAAUUCAUCAUUAGACUUGUAAUAUUUUAAAAUAUAUUUACAAUGAUAGUGUGCAUUUUUCCCCAUAUAAAAGACAUUGUAAUCUAUUAAUAUAAAAAUAUUUAUCAAAAAAUCAUGAGCUUAUAGUUUAUUCAAAUUAUUAUGCACCAUGUGUAUUUUAACAUAGAAUAAAUGCUUAUUGAUUUGAUAAAGUGUUGAUAGAUUUUAAUAUGUAAAUACAGUGCGUUAAUUUUACGAAAUUAUAUAAUGGCAUAUUGAUCAAUGAUUUUUAUGUUUAAUUUAUAUGCACUUGUAUGAUUGACAAUGCGAAUGAUUCAGGAAACCUUCGGGACCCGUCUUGAAACACGGACCGAGGAGUCUAACAUAUGUGCAAGUCAUUGGGAUUUUAUAUAAACCUAAUGGCAUAAUUAACUUGACUUGUCUAUAAAAUGGGAUUAGUUUUGAAUAUAUAAUAAUUUCUUAACACAAUCCCGGGGCGUUCUAUAUAAUUAUGUAUAAUAAUGUUUAAUUAUAUUAUUUAUACCUCUAAUUGGAACGUACCUUGAGCAUAU
rnacentral:rRNA from 1 species